AACGCAUUCCUAUCUAUAGCCGAGGAUGAUCUGCAAGCUGUGUCGACAUUUCCCGAGCCACAGAUAUGCACAGAGUUGUCGGUACCAUUGACGAGCAUAACCCGAACAUUCAAGUUGCUUUUGCUUGAGAAUCAUCGCAGUGCCGUAGGUGAAGGAGACGUAGCCGAUGGUUUCUGUCUUCGUCAUGACCGAGAGUGGAUGGAGCGUUUAUGGAAAGGUGUCUGUCAGGCUGGCCAAGCUCGGCAGCCAUUACAAUUUUCAACCUGUAUGCUGCUGGUCUGGGUAUUGGAGGCUUGAUGAUGCAUAGAUGGAGACUCAGUGCGGUCUGUUUGUUUGAAUGCAGAUAUUGACUGGAUGUGGGACUGACUGGAUGUGCGACUGCACGAUGUGGAGGUUGAGUCUCUUUCCUUGUUUUGGGGCAGCAGAGAUAGCUCUUGCUAUCCUCAGGAGCUGAUCGACCCUGCCCUUGCGAGAUCACGUUUUUCCUGUCGCCUGUUGUCUCCGUUUUGUGACUCGUUCGUGUAUGUGCUUGUUUUGUUUGUCAUUCUCAAGAAUUUCUUUUGCAUGUCACUAACUCUCGCCUUUUAGUCUUUGUGUUUGCAUGCAGACACUGACCCGAUUUGCGACUGCUUGGCUGACUGCCCAAAGUGGAGGUUGAGUCUCUUUGCUUAUAUUUGGGUAGCAGGGAUAGCUCUUGCAUUCCUCAGGAGCUGAUCGACCCCGCCUUUGCGAGAUCACGUUUGUCCUGUCUCCCGUUGUAUCCGUUUUGUGACUCGUUCGUGUAUAUGCUUGUUUUGUUUGUCAUUCCUAAGAAUUUUUUUGCGUGUCACUAACUCUCGUUUUUUAGUCUUUGUGUUUGCACGCAGAUACUGACUGGAUGUGCGACUGCUUGGCUGAUGUCGUACAUCAGUGCCACUUACUGCAGCUCCCAACCUGCAUACUUGGAGGCUCCUGACCUAACCUGGCGAAGACUGGACCACUAGUCUCAACACCUGCGCAAUUUACAUAUAGUGAGCAGUCGUGGCAUUAGCGUCUGGCUUCCAUGUCUGAGUUAUCUACAGACACCCCAAAGUUAUACACAGUGACGAGGUAGUAAAAUGUGCUUCUUUGUACAUGUACAUUGCGUGCUAUUUUACAUAACUGAAAUGGUAUUGAAAUACCUGGAUGAUUUACUGCUGUAUAUCGCACCGUGAUCUGUCAUUGCAAUGUUAGUCAUACAGUACAUAUUUUUGAAAUGGUUUCUACAUUGAUAAUAUUGUGAUUAACAGGACCUUACAAAGCAUGAAGGAGAUAUGUAUUUAUAACAAUAUUUUUCACUACGUAUCAUGUAGAUUUGAGAGGAAUCUCUUGCUAAAAAUACAAAAUAUAGGCAAUAACUUCCAAGUUGAGUUUAUACUCUUGCUUUGUAUUCAAGGUGGGUUUCAGAUGUUGUUACAUUUAACAUUUGUGAAGAUAGUUGUGUGUUGCCAUGUCGGUUUUAUAUGUGUAAGUCUGACCGAAUAUUCCAGACCAAACCAUGUACAUAUAGGUUGUCCGUGUUAUGCACUGCCGGCUUGUGGGUAUGCUGUAAUAUUGUUGUUCAAAACCUGGCUCCAAUUAAUUAUGUGCAAAUGUUGGCAUGGCAAAAGAAGUCGGAAAACUAAAAUGUAUCUCAUACACAUAUGAGUUAAAUUGCAUAUACAUAUAAGUUGAAUCUCGCACAAACGACUUACGCUGUAUGUGGGUUCUUGCGUGACUUGUUCACUAAUAUCCAGCUGAGUAAUUUUAGCUCUAACAAAUGACUUGAAUCUUAUACCCAUAAUUAUGCCAUAAGAGAGAGAGGCAAUUCACCAUCUCUCUAAUAAAGCUUCGUACUGUACGAAAAACAGCAUACAGGUAAUUACUGUUCCCUGUUGAUUACCUUGAAUAUGCAAGAUACCUGACAGCUCAGAUUCUAAUUUUCUUCAGAGAUAUUGCACCUCUAUUUUUCUAUUAAUAUUUUCAAAAAUAUUGCACUUCAAUAAGGUAUCAUUGAAGCAUUCAUUUUUAUAAUUGGGUAGUCUAUGUAAGAAUCCAUGUAUGCAAGAACAGAAUUCAGUUACCAUAGUUUGUUGAAACAGCUUGUAUGCAGUAAUAUGACAAAUUAUAAAACUGUAAGAAGCUGUAGUUUAUGUUUUAUUUUCAUUUUUUGUAGAAAUGCUGAUUUUUUAAUUAGUUUUGUUUUUCUACUGUCGCAUGAUUGAUCGUCUGUGCGAGUCGCGUAAAAGCAGACGUUAAUACAGAUUUUGCAGAUUUCACUUCACAUUUUACUGGAAGCAACCGACUCGAAACCUAAGACAAUUAUUUGUAGAGUGCAGUUAUUCGAUGAGUACAGUGUUUUUAUUCAUGCUGUAUUGCCGGUCAAAAAUUUUUCAUGAAAAAUGUUUGAAUAUUGGACAAUCUAUUGAUUCUUUCAGUCAGCUUAAAUUAUGUUAAAGACCUCGAGCUUUUUAAAAACUUCAAGUGCAAAUCAAUUCAUUUUUGCAUUGACGAUCUUGAACUCGAAUAUCGUUUAGAAACAUCUGAAGUAUGUUUCAAAUUGGUGCACUUUCAUGUAUUU